UAAUCUCACUACGAUCGACUUUUUGUCUUUUGUAUGUGGACUUGGAUGUUGCCGUGAAUAAACAAACGGCUCGUCUGAAAUGCCUGAGUGUACCCCGCUUUACGGCGUAUUCGGUGUGAUAAAUCUUCACUGGAGUUGAUCCCUUUAUGGGGUCGCGUCUGUAAUGGUGUGGCUCUAUGCUUCGAACCGUCUCCUAUCGAGACAAAUCUCUGACA
rnacentral:misc_RNA from 1 species